UACAGAGGGUGCGAGCGUUAAUCGGAAUUACUGGGCGUAAAGCGUGCGUAGACGGUUAUUUAAGUCGGAUGUGAAAGCCCCGGGCUCAACCUGGGAAUUGCAUUCGAGACUGAAUAGCUAGGGUGCGGUAGAGGGAAGCGGAAUUUCCGGUGUAGCGGUGAAAUGCGUAGAUAUCGGAAGGAACACCAGUGGCGAAGGCGGCUCACUGGCCCGGUACUGACGCUGAGGCACGAAAGCGUGGGGAGCAA
rnacentral:rRNA from 1 species